AUGCAUAUAAUGGCAGAGUUCUACGAAUCUGAGAUGAUGGUGCCGUUCGGACCAAAGGCAAUAACAAAUCUAUGUACAAGUUUCCGUAGAGAUGACACAAAGGAGGGUGACAUGAUUGAGACAAUUGCGCACUUCAAGGAUAUACAGAAAAACGAUCCAGACUUCUUCUAUAAGGUAAAAUAUGAUGAAGAGGACAGAGUUGUCAACAUAUUUUGGGUGGAUGGCUUAGCUCAAAAAGCUUAUGUUGAGGCUUACCACGAUUGCAUAACGUUUGACACUACCUACAUGACCAACAUGUAUAAUAUGCCAUUUGCACCUUUCAUUGGAAUAAACCAACAUGGCCAAUCUUUCAUGCUCGGUUGCACGUUUGUGAAGUAG
rnacentral:rRNA from 1 species